AUUGAACGCUGGCGGCAGGCCUAACACAUGCAAGUCGAGCGGAUGAAGGGAGCUUGCUCCUGGAUUCAGCGGCGGACGGGUGAGUAAUGCCUAGGAAUCUGCCUGGUAGUGGGGGAUAACGUCCGGAAACGGGCGCUAAUACCGCAUACGUCCUGAGGGAGAAAGUGGGGGAUCUUCGGACCUCACGCUAUCAGAUGAGCCUAGGUCGGAUUAGCUAGUUGGUGGGGUAAAGGCCUACCAAGGCGACGAUCCGUAACUGGUCUGAGAGGAUGAUCAGUCACACUGGAACUGAGACGCGGUCCAGACGCCUACGGGAGGGAGCAGUGGGGAAUAUUGGACAAUGGGCGAAAUCCUUAUCCAGCCAUGCCGCGUGUGUGAAGAAGGUCUUCGGAUUGUAAAGCACGUUAAGUUGGGAGGAAGGGCAGUAAGUUAAUACCUUGCUGUUUUGACGUUACCAACAGAAUAAGCACCGGCUAACUUCGUG
rnacentral:rRNA from 1 species